rnacentral:misc_RNA from 1 species
AAGUCGUAACAAGGUUUCCGUAGGUGAACCUGCGGAAGGAUCAUUAACAAAUCGUGGAGAAGAUCUCUGUUCUGGAGAGGUUCUCUAUAUAAACCUGUUGUAUUAAAAGACAAAACCCAAACUAAAAAAAACAACUUUUAACAAUGGAUCUCUUGGCUCUU